rnacentral:rRNA from 1 species
CCUACGGGAGGCAGCAGUGAGGAAUAUUGGUCAAUGGGCGCGAGCCUGAACCAGCCAAGUAGCGUGAAUGAUGACUGCCCUACGGGUUGUAAACUUCUUUUAUAAAGGAAUAAAGUGAGGCACGUGUGCCUUUUUGUAUGUACUUUAUGAAUAAGGAUCGGCUAACUCCGUGCCAGCAGCCGCGGUAAUACGGAGGAUCCGAGCGUUGUCCGGAUGUAUUGGGUGUAAAGGGAGCGUAGAUGGGUUGUUAAGUCAGUUGUGAAAGUGUGCGGCUCAACCGUAAAAUUGCAAGGGAUACUGGCAGUCUUGAGUACAGUUGAGGUAGGCGGAAUUCGUGGUGUAGCGGUGAAAUGCUUAGAGAUCACGAAGAACUCCGAUGGCGAAGGCAGCUUACUAAACUGCCACUGACAUUGAUGCUCGAAAGUGUGGGUAUCAAACAGGAUUAGAUACCCGAGUAGUC